rnacentral:rRNA from 1 species
GAUGAACGCUGGCGGCGUGCCUAAUACAUGCAAGUCGAGCGAACGGACGAGAAGCUUGCUUCUCUGAUUUUAGCGGCGGACGGGUGCGUAACACGUGGAUAACCUACCUAUAAGACUGGGAUAACUUCGGGAAACCGGAGCUAAUACCGGAUAAUAUUUUGAACCGCAUGGUUCAAAAGUGAAAGACGGUCUUGCUGUCACUUAUAGAUGGAUCCGCGCUGCAUUAGCUAGUUGUUAAGGUAACGGCUUACCAAGGCAACGAUGCAUAGCCGACCUGAGAGGGUGACCGACCACCCUGGAACUGAGACACGGUCCAGACUCCUACGAGAGGCAGCAGUAGGGAAUCUUCCGCAAUGGGCGAAAGCCUGACGGAGCAACGCCGCGUGAGUGAUGAAGGUCUUCGGAUCGUAAAACUCUGUUAUUAGGGAAGAACAUAUGUGUAAGUAACUGUGCACAUCUUGAGGGUACCUAAUCAGAAAGCCACGGCUAACUACGUG